UUUGACUAUGUUAAUUCAAAGUUAUAGUUAAAGCUAGAUUCAGAAAAUCAAGAAACAAAAAAGGGCAAUUUCUUCCACCAUUUUAACGUCAGCUACUUUUCAUUUCAUGUUGUAAUUGUGAAUAGCAAGAACCUUCAGAAAAAGUAUUACCACCUCGACUACCGCAGGAUUUGACGGUGCUGCUGGCUCUGGUCGACCCGAUCUACAGUUUGUUCGAGCGCUGGUUAAGUCACCCAGACUCUGGAGAACCGAAACCAAUCUGCUAAAGAGCACAGAAAGCCGGUUGUGGCACUAAUAACGAUUCCUAUUUCUUACGAUACUUGUGGAAAGAUGGAUCUAAUACCCUGCUACCCAGGCUGCGACUUCGAACUUCAAAUUAAGAUGCCGCGGCGUCAGGACAACCGGACGGAAGUAUCCUUUUUCGGAGUCAGGCGAGGAACACUGGAACUGGCACGUACUGAGAUACACCGGCAGGUGUAGCGGUAUAAAAUUUGAAGUGAACAUGCAAUUGUGAGUCAUAACUGCAAUAAGCUUUUAGAACAUAAUGCUGUGUAUAACCAUAGAUAUAAUUAUCAAGAUGUUGGGGUCAGAGCAAAUUAGUACUCAUUUUAUGGUUCCAGUGUACUACCCAAGUAACACCAAGCAUUACAAUAUUGCACAUAUAUCAAUCACAAAUCGGCAUGCUAAAUGCUAAUUGCAUUAGAACUGUUUUAACAAUGUGUUGUUGCAUUUAUUUAUCCACUGUCAGACAACGAUACUCUAAAUCAGCAGUACGAAUGCAGCGAUGCAUUACUGGUGCUUUAUUUCAACAUGCCAAAGUAAUGAACCAUUAAUUGGGUCUUAUAAUUGCCCUUUUCCACUUUAAGUCAACUUUUAGGACUGAGUUUUUUACAAGUAUAUAUAGCUUCAUGGUUACUUGGGUAAGCUCGCCAGUACCCAGCGGUACCCAGUAAAACUAAGCAAUCCUUAGAUUUGAAUUUGAAUUUGUUCUAAUUUUCUAUCGUUGUCAUGGAUAUGAUAGUAUUUGUUUUAUCAUUGUUUUCCAGUCGAUGUCGGUGAUGUAUUAUGGAAUUUAUUGAAGAUAAACGUAUAAUUUAAUCCAUUGUUGAAGUUAUUAAAUACUCUUUAUACUUCUAGGUCGAUUUACGAUUUGUGGCUGUCUAUAGGCAAAACUCCAGUUUUGCAAAGCGUUAACUUGUACAGAGGGCCUUCGACUUAUGUAGUGAUAUUAGGAAAGAUGGUUCACAGCACCAUCUUCCACAUUUGGAUUCCCGCUGCUUUCAAUUCUUCGUUAAUCGUGAUUCCUUUCUCACGUUGGAACUUGUUUUAUUGGGCUUGUGAAUUGUGUAAAAAUGGGAAACGGAUGCUACGGUUUGCAAUAGUCGGUUCCAUUUUGAAAAGGCUCUCUGAUGUGGAGAUCAUCAGAGCAACAAUCUUCGGCUAAAACUUCGCUGGCAUGCUUAAAAACUCUGGUUCUUGAACCCAACGACUACCGGCAUCGAAGCAAGAUCAUCUACCUAGCCCAUUCGGUGGCUUUGUCUGCAAUGUUAAGUUUGCUUGAAACUCACUUCCACGAACUUUUACAAACGAUUUCCCAAGACAGCGGCCAUGUACCUUCUAUUUGGUAUGGUCAUCUUUUCAUUUGGUAAUUCUCAGCCGAUUUUCUCUAAACGAGCUGUAUUUCAAAGAUGGUAAAGCCUUGAUUACGAUUAGCAUUGCGGUCAAAAGCUAUUCAAAUGGUAUUCUGAAUCAGAAAGGUUGGUGUCUUGGCUGAAUACGAGAAAGACAGUAUCACUAUUAGGUCGAUUGAUUUGAUUUCAUUUAAAUUUCUAUGCAAAUUAAAACAAACAAAAAUGCUUACAAUAUCUCAUUCUUGUUAUUUUUUAUAUGACCUUUACGUAAAUUCUUAGGACAAAAUUCAGAGUGUUUCUAAAAAAGAUUCUGGAAUAAAUACAUUGGGCUAAUUGUGGCCAAAUGAACCACACAUUUGCCUGGUUGAAGCAUCUAGUGCUCCUGUUAGCAACUUCAGCAUAUUGUGGACAUCGAACCCUAUCGAACCAUAGUUGACUGACCUCUGUUCUAUUGUAGCUAUUCAAACUCCAUUCAGGUAUGUGCAUACACCGAAGCGGAUUCUUUCACCCACCGUCGGUGGCACAGAUGAAGUAAACGUUACAAGUAUGGUCGACCGAAUAGUAUAAUCAAUAGAGUUCAGCAGAAUCAGUAUCAAGAAUGGUUAUAAUCGACAUUUCCAGAAAGAAUACUGAUAUAAUAAUAAGCAAUCGCUUCUACUUGUUCCUAUCCACAAUCAUUUCGUAAGAUAAGAUGAAAGCCGCAGUCGUUGACGGAAAACUAUUGGAUAGAUGCUAAGUUUGCAAGGCAAAUUUUUUUUAUUCUACCCAAUCGUAACGGUCGAGUGUUGUAAAGUUGUCGAAAGAAAGGUAUACCCAGUUCCACAACAGGCGUAUUGGACGGUCUGGUAUAACCAAAAGUCAAAUGCUGAGCGAAGGAGAUGACUGAACAAACUGCGGUGCGUAUCACUUCCGAUCGGUUUGAGAGCAACCUCUUUUGGUGCUACAUUUUUUGAAAUUUCCGUUGAGGGGGAUGAAACAGCUGCUUAAAUUAUUAAAUUUCCUUUAUU